UUGCUGGUGUAUAGGCUCGUG
rnacentral:siRNA from 1 species